rnacentral:lncRNA from 1 species
CGGCCCGCGGACGCCCGUGGGGAGGGCGAGGGGUCGGACGGGGGGAGCCGGCCGCCGCCGUCGCAUUCCAGCGGGACUAUUUCCCGCGUCGUUUCGCACGCGCGCCUCCGCCGCCUUUUUGGGUGCGAUGCGGUUGUCGGAGCAACACCGGCCCGGGAGGGACGGGACUACUUUCAGUCACAGAACGGCGGCGGAGGCCGCACAAAGGCGGCCGAUCCCCUCCGCCCGCUCCCUUCCGCCCUCUCUCAGGUUUAUAUUUAUUUAGUCUGUAAUUCAGCAGAGAUGCCUAGUACCUCAAGAAAAUGGCUUUGUAUCCUUAACUGUGAUACCACUUCAGGAGUGUUGUUUUUCUUAGCUGUUAAAGUAGUUAUCAAACCAUUCUAGAAAAGCAGGAUGAGUUACUUGCAUGCUACCUUAGAGCAGAGAAGAGUGCCCUCUGAUGGCUAACCUUUUAGUUUUAAUGUCUACAAUGUUAAUGUCAACCUCCAUUUAUGAGAUUCAAAAAGCAAAAUCACAAACACGCAAGAUGCUGGAGCAGUUCAUUAUUUAAAGGAAAAAAAACUUGAUUUAUAUUUAUAUAGUUGUGAAAAAUAGAGGUGGGGGUAUAUUCUUAAUUUUUUCAUUAAAUUAACAUCAGCCAGUUUUUCUAAGAGCAAAAUUAAUACAUUUGAUAGUUCAAAACUGUUACCUGUAUGUACUCUCUGAUCUAAGUUUUGUUUUACUGUGAUAAAUUUGCUUUAAGGCUUGGAAAAGUAGCAUGUAGAGCAUGUACAAGUCCCUAAGUCCUCAGUUUAUUUCAGAGCAAUGAAAAUGUUUGUGAAUUCCCUGGGGUGUGAUACCGCUCUUCAAUGAGUAAACCUGCCUUUUUUCUUCAAAUCUUAAACUCAAAUAUAAGCAGUGCUGAUAAUAGUUUUUAUUAGUCCUUGCUCACUUUUCAAAUCAUGAAAUCCAAGGAUAACUGUCAGUGGCUGAUUCUCCAGUCUACCCGUUUUAAACACGCCUUUUCCAGUAAUUUCAAGAUAGCUAGAGAAUUUCUAGUUUCUGAGAAUCCAACUGAUCCCUAAAUUAGAGAUAUAGGAUUUGGAGGUGAUGGCUAAGUGAAAACCAAAUUCUCAUUUACCCCACUAUCAACUGGCAGGAGUGCUAAGUACUGUAAAGUUAAACACCUAUGUUUCCACGAGAUAUUUGAAAUACAGGCCCAGAACAGCAGAAAUCCCUGCACGCAUUGGUUAUAUGUGUCACAUUGAUUUAAUGGCCUCUUAGAACAGGAAUGUGUGUCCUCAAAACUGCUCUGGUUCUGUAUAUAAAGAUUUUUGUGUCUUAAGGCAUGUAGCUCAAUCUUCAUGUGAUGGCAGGAUGGAAGAGGCAGUCAUGUAUGGCUAAGGUCUCAUUUUCUGCUUUUUAUAAUUCUUCAGAUAACUUCCUUACACCAUGGACUUGAAUAAAGAUUAUUCAUAAGGUGACA